rnacentral:tRNA from 1 species
GGCCUCGUAGCUCAGCUGGUAGAGCAUGCGCGUACAAAGCGUAGUUCCCUGCGUGGAUUCGAAUCCCACCGAGGCUA